rnacentral:rRNA from 1 species
GUGGCGGACGGGUGAGUAACGCGUGAGUAACCUGCCUUCAAGAGGGGGAUAACAUUCUGAAAAGAAUGCUAAUACCGCAUGACAUAUCGGAACCACAUGGUUUUGAUAUCAAAGAUUUUAUCGCUUGAAGAUGGACUCGCGUCCGAUUAGUUAGUUGGUGAGGUAACGGCUCACCAAGACCGCGAUCGGUAGCCGGACUGAGAGGUUGAACGGCCACAUUGGGACUGAGACACGGCCCAGACUCCUACGGGAGGCAGCAGUGGGGGAUAUUGCGCAAUGGGGGCAACCCUGACGCAGCAACGCCGCGUGAAGGAUGAAGGUUUUCGGAUUGUAAACUUCUUUUAUUAAGGACGAAAAAUGACGGUACUUAAUGAAUAAGCUCCGGCUAACUACGUGCCAGCAGCCGCGGUAAUACGUAGGGAGCAAGCGUUGUCCGGAUUUACUGGGUGUAAAGGGUGCGUAGGCGGCUUUGCAAGUCAGAUGUGAAAUCUAUGGGCUCAACCCAUAAACUGCAUUUGAAACUGUAGAGCUUGAGUGAAGUAGAGGCAGGCGGAAUUCCCCGUGUAGCGGUGAAAUGCGUAGAGAUGGGGAGGAACACCAGUGGCGAAGGCGGCCUGCUGGGCUUUAACUGACGCUGAGGCACGAAAGCGUGGGUAGCAAACAGGAUUAGAUACCCUGGUAGUCCACGCUGUAAACGAUGAUUACUAGGUGUGGGGGGUCUGACCCCUUCCGUGCCGGAGUUAACACAAUAAGUAAUCCACCUGGGGAGUACGGCCGCAAGGUUGAAACUCAAAGGAAUUGACGGGGGCCCGCACAAGCAGUGGAGUAUGUGGUUUAAUUCGAAGCAACGCGAAGAACCUUACCAGGUCUUGACAUCCAACUAACGAAGUAGAGAUACAUUAGGUGCCCUUCGGGGAAAGUUGAGACAGGUGGUGCAUGGUUGUCGUCAGCUCGUGUCGUGAGAUGUUGGGUUAAGUCCCGCAACGAGCGCAACCCUUGCUAUUAGUUGCUACGCAAGAGCACUCUAAUAGGACUGCCGUUGACAAAACGGAGGAAGGUGGGGACGACGUCAAAUCAUCAUGCCCCUUAUGACCUGGGCUACACACGUACUACAAUGGAUGUUAACAGAGGGAAGCAAGACAGCGAUGCGGAGCAAACCCCUAAAAACAUUCUCAGUUCAGAUUGCAGGCUGCAACCCGCCUGCAUGAA